rnacentral:rRNA from 1 species
AGUGAACGCUGGCGGUAGGCCUAACACGUGCAAGUCGAACGGCAGCACAGUAAGAGCUUGCUCUUACGGGUGGCGAGUGGCGGACGGGUGAGGAAUACAUCGGAAUCUACUUUUUCGUGGGGGAUAACGUAGGGAAACUUACGCUAAUACCGCAUACGACCUACGGGUGAAAGCAGGGGAUCUUCGGACCUUGCGCGAUUGAAUGAGCCGAUGUCGGAUUAGCUAGUUGGCGGGGUAAAGGCCCACCAAGGCGACGAUCCGUAGCUGGUCCGAGAGGAUGAUCAGCCACACUGGAACUGAGACACGGUCCAGACUCCUACGGGAGGCAGCAGUGGGGAAUAUUGGACAAUGGGCGCAAGCCUGAUCCAGCCAUACCGCGUGGGUGAAGAAGGCCUUCGGGUUGUAAAGCCCUUUUGUUGGGAAAGAAAAGCAGCAGGUUAAUACCCCGCUGUUCUGACGGUACCCAAAGAAUAAGCACCGGCUAACUUCGUG